GGCUCUGUGGACGAACUGGUAGAGUUGCCGCCCUCUCAAGGCGGAGUUUGUGGGAUCAUGCCCCACCAGAGUCACCA
rnacentral:tRNA from 1 species